rnacentral:rRNA from 1 species
CGCCUGUUUAUCAAAAACAUGUCUUUUAGAAUUUGUUAAAAGUUGAUUCUGCUCAAUGAUAAUUUAAAUAGCCGCAGUAUUUUAACUGUGCAAAGGUAGCAUAAUAAUUAGUCUUUUAAUUGAGGUCUGGAAUGAAUGAUUUGACGAGGAAUUAACUUUAUUUAAAUUAUUUUUUUUAAUUUUUGUUUUUGGUUAAAAUACCAAAAUUUUUAUAAGGGACGAUAAGACCCUAUAGAUCUUUAAAAAAAAUAUUUAUUUUUCUUUUUUGUUGUAUUUUAAAAUUAAGAUAUUUUUUUUUUUGUUGGGGUGACGUUUAAAAUUUUUGACUUUAAAUUUUUUUUACAUUUUUUUUGUUUAAUUUGAUCUUGAAUUUUUGAUUAUAUGAUUAAGAUACCUUAGGGAUAACAGCAUAAUUUAUUUGGAGAGUUCAAAUCGAUAAUUAAGUUUGUGACCUCGAUGUUGAAUUAAAAUUUAAAUUGUGGGGUAGGUUUUACAAUUUUAGGUCUGUUCGACUUUAAAAUUUUACAUGAUCUGAGUUCAGACCGG